GAUGAAGAACGCAGCGAAAUGCGAUAAGUAAUGUGAAUUGCAGAAUUCAGUGAAUCAUGGAAUCUUUGAACGCACAUUGCGCCCCCUGGUAUUCCGGGGGGCAUGCCUGUCCGAGCGUCAUUACAACCCUCAAGCUCAGCUUGGUGUUGGGCCCCGCCGCCCCGGCGGGCCCUAAAGUCAGUGGCGGUGCCGUCCGGCUCCGAGCGUAGUAAUUCUUCUCGCUCUGGAGGUCCGGUCGUGUGCUCGCCAGCAACCCCCAAUUUUUUUCAGGUUGACCUCGGAUCAGGUAGGGAUACCCGCUGAACUUAAGCAUAUCAAUAAGCGGAGGA
rnacentral:misc_RNA from 1 species